AGCAUACCGCUGACGACCGGCGCACGGGUGAGUAACACGUAUCCAACCUACCCCUUUUUAGGGGAUAGCCUUUCGAAAGAAAGAUUAAUACCCGACUUUAUAGCGAUAAGGCAUCUUAUUGCUAUUAAAGAAUUUCGGUGUUUGAUGGGGAUGCGUUCCAUUAGAUUGUUGGUGAGGUAACGGCUCACCAAGUCUUCGAUGGAUAGGGGUUCUGAGAGGAAGGUCCCCCACAUUGGAACUGAGACACGGUCCAAACUCCUACGGGAGGCAGCAGUGAGGAAUAUUGGUCAAUGGACGAGAGUCUGAACCAACCAAGUAGCGUGAAGGAUGAAGGCCCUAUGGGUCGUAAACUUCUUUUAUAGGGGAAUAAAGUGCGGAACGUGUUCCGUUUUGUAUGUACCCUACGAAUAAGGAUCGGCUAACUCCGUGCCAGCAGCCGCGGUAAUACGGAGGAUCCGAGCGUUAUCCGGAUUUAUUGGGUUUAAAGGGAGCGUAGGUGGACGUAUAAGUCAGUUGUGAAAGUUUGCGGCUCAACCGUAAAAUUGCAGUUGAUACUGUAUGUCUUGAGUGUACAAGAGGUGAGCGGAAUUCAUGGUGUAGCGGUGAAAUGCUUAGAUAUCACGAAGAACUCCAAUUGAAGGGCGAAUUCU
rnacentral:rRNA from 1 species